CAACUCGGCUUGGUAAGGUAAGGUGGUAAGGGGUCGUGUGUGGAUCUAGGUCGUUGGUGGUUACCGUAGCGGCGGCGGCCGCGAGGGCCUGCUCCGUUCUAGUAGGAGGAGGAGGCGGAGGGUGGGCUGCUGGGCCGGACGGAGGAGGCGCGGAGGCAGGAGACGUUCUGGACCUCGGUGUUGCAGAGGGCGGGGCCUAAGGCGGCGGCGCGGGUGCUCGAGGUGGCCCGUGGGGGGCACGGGCCGUAGGAGGAGGUCCUGGCCUCUUUGUUCGCGCAGGGGGCGAAGUUGGGGUCGUGGCGAAGCAGGAAGAGGGAGCGGCAUGGUCUCCAAGGUGGUCUACCCCUCUUCAACGAGAUCUCAGAUGGUGAUGGUCGUACCAGAUACCAGAUACCUGUACCUGCUCAGAACGAUACACUUCGAGUUCUCGUCUGAGUAGGAAACCCACUACAAGGAUUCAAAUUCUCGCGUGCCUUACUUCUUAGACGUUUCUCAAGUCCAUCCCGGUCGUUUCAACUACGACCCUUGGCUUUUCUGUAGUCCAUCGUUACAACUACCACGAGAUGGAAGUCUCUUUACACUAAGACUUAUUAAACAACAUGCGAACAUGACAUAUAUGGUAAUGGGGAAAGGGGGUCUGUGCACACCACUUUAUGAGUUUCAAACGUAAUAAUAGAUCCGUACACAGACUUUAAAAUGAACAUACCUUAUUAAAGAGUUUGUUCAACACCUUGAUUGACUUGGGUGACUACAAUCGUACCGUGCCGACUACCGGGUUCCAUUAGUAUAACGUGUGUCUCAACACUUCACAUAAACCUGAAACUUGUCAAACGUCACACCGCUAUAGAGAAUUUAAUAGUAGUAGUAAGGUAUGCUCUGUUAAAUCAUAUUCAACAAAAGGAUUAUAUAUAUAAUAAGUUAAAAUUUCGUAUCUAUCAUCUACUACAACGUGUUUCGUAUCUCUUAGAGACGAACGAGCCUUGUUCGAACAGAAACCCAACAUGUAUAAAACUUGCACAUGGACCAGGACGGCAGGACCACGGUACACAGUCAAUGAGAUAUCGAUACAGAUACUAAUGUCACACACUUGUCAGCUAAUAGAAGGGUUCCUCUAAGACUUGACCGUAAUAAACUAGUUUGUUGUAAAUUGGGGAGAGAACAACUUCCGGUACCGAAAAAAUUCGGCUCUCUUGCCGUUCGUGUUAAGCGACGGAUUGUAGCAUUGGGGAAAAAUAAAAAUGUAAAAACGAUUUUUAGUCAGCUGACUAAAACAAAACCGAAAUUCAGUUUAAAACUCCGCAACUAAGUCAGACUUAGAACCGCGUGGCCACACAGACACAAGGUACACGCUCCCCAAAACCGCUAGUUCUACACGCAAUAACCCAAGACCAAAAAAGAGGGUGGACCAGACCUGGGCGCGGGCAGGGGGCUCCCCUUCCUCCUUCCGCUCAAAAGGGCCGCCCUCGACGUCCCUACCUACCGUCCCGUCUCCUCGACAGGGCAGCCCGCUCCGUAGUGGCUCACGGCCAGCCACCCACGCCUUGGUCGGCGGCAGCAGCCACCCCUCCUUCCAGACGCGUUGUUCGGAGGACUGUAGGCGCAGCGAAGGUCACUGACAUCGUCGGUUCUUCCUCGACGGACAAACACCCCCACCCAGAGUUCUGCCUCGAAAAACCCGAACUUACAAUCCUCAAGUAGCGGGGGGGAGGUACACCUGACUAAUUGUGAAGAAGUUUCCCUGUUGAUCGAAGAUGUGAGGAUACGGAGCUCAACUCGUGUUCCUAGGCAGCAACUUCGUAUCACUCCUCCGUCUACCAUGGCUGGUUCUUCCCCUCCUCCUCUUCUGUCGUCUAGUACGUGUUGUCAACUAAUUGUUACCCAGGUUACAAUUGUUCCUCCCCCUGAAACAAUUGUAGGAACUUACGCGAUAGGUACGGUGUCUCUUGUCCCAAGGUAGUGGAACACCCCUUCAACGAGGUUCCACAUGGUCGUGCCAGUUGUUUACACCUACGUCGAACGAUACACUUCGAGUUCUCCGCAGACUAGGAAACCCGCUACAGGGGUUCUCACGUGCCUUACUUCUUAGGCACUUCUCAAGUCUAUCAUAGUUGUUUCUACCGCGACCCUUGGGUUUUUUGGACGUCAUCGUCACAACUACUACGAGGUCAAAGCCUCUUUCCACUAAGACUUAUUACACAAGAUGUAUGAGCGUUGAGUCCCGACGUGAUGACACGGAACUUUAUGAGUUCAAACGGAAUAAUAGAUCCAUAUACAUACCUUAUUAAAGAGUUUGUUCGGUACCUUGGGAGACGGUAGUUGUACCGUGUCUACACUUCACACAAACCCUGAACCUUGUCAAACGACACACCUGUAUAUAGAACUUGAUAGUGGUAGUAAGCUAUACUCUGGUAAAUUAAGCUCAACAAAAGGAUUACAAAUGUCAUCACGCGUAACAGGUCGAAAUUCUGUGUCUAGCACCUACUACAACGUGUCUCGUAUCCCUUGAAAACGAACGAGGUUUGUUCGAACAAACACUUGCACAUGGACCACGGUACACGGUCAAUGUGGUGUGGAUAAAGAUGUUAAUGUCAUUGCCAAUAAGUCGUGAAGACAUAUAUAAAAGAGUAACAAACGCAGACAGUGCGAGGAGAACUUCGGGAGCCACGUCCUCGGCCUAGGAGAUUGAAUCUCUUCCCUUCAGUGCCACGAUGUCACGAACAGAUCACAUUUUACUUCUUCCUUACGAUCCCUGAUAAUCGUCCAAUAAAUGAAAACCAUUAAUGACAUCUAUAUUUUAUAGAUUUUAAUUAA
rnacentral:rRNA from 1 species